UGUGAAUAUCUGAAGGAGUUGCAAAGCAGUCUUUACUGAUACAGGUGUUGCUCGUGGACUGGGAAAAUAAAUUGGGGGCAGAGGGAAGAGGAGAGAGGUCAGACGACACAACAGUCUCUCCGUGGGGAGGUCAGAGAACAGCAACUGCUCCUCAGUCUCCUUGAAUCACCAUCAUCCUCUCACAAGAAGAGAAGAAAAAGUCUAUCAGCGGGAACUUGAACUUAGAGGCUGGCUGUGUGAAUAGAGAAGGCCAGAUGCAAGAAAACCACAGAUGGCUCAGUGGGUAGAGCACCAGCCCUGAAGUCAGGAGGACCUGAAUUCAAAUCCAGCCUCAGACACUUAACAAUUCCUGGUUGUGUGACCAUGGGCAAACCCCAACUGCCUCAGCAAAAAAAAAAAAAAAAAAGGCAAAAAGAAGAAGAGAAACAAACAGAAAAGUCGUUGCAAUGGCAAAAGCAAGCAGUCUCUCCUCCCCUUAUGGAAGUCCAGGCUGAAGAGUUCCCAUAGUUUCCAUCUAUUCAUUCACUUUUCUUAAAUCAGUGAGCAUCCUCCAUUAGACCAUAGGAAGACCUGGAGAGAAUAAUGUCAUAAAAGGGGACGGGGAUAAGUAUUUAUAUAGUUCCUACUAUGUGCCAGAUACUUUACAAAUAUCACAACAUGCCAGUGAGAAAAGAACUGUGAUAAACAGAACUUGUGACUUGUCCAUAACUACACAGCUGCUAACUGUCUGAAAUUAUAUUAGAUCACACAUUUUCCUGACUCCAGGCCCAGAAUUCUAUCCCUAGCACCACACAGCUAACUGCUAAAAAGCCAGAGAGAGAGAGGGAAGAUACUCAAAGAUAGUAAAGUCAAGUCUCCAAUACAGUAAGUUGAUAAAUCAAGAAAUACAAGAAAUGAGAAAAGACAGCAGAUUGACAAUUUGAAAGAUCACUGGUAAUUUGAGGGGGAAACAGUUUCAAUUGAGCAAUAAAGCAGGGAAACCAGGUUACAAAAAAUUCAGGAAAAAAUAAAUAAACAACAGCAAGGUUGUAGAGGAAGCUGGUCCUUCAACAUAGCCUGGAUUUCCAACUUCUACCCGUAAGGGGUUUGGAGGGAAGAAUUUUCUAUUUGGGUAAGAUCUGUUUUUUUCCUAUUUUGAGCUGAGAUAUCAUGAUGAUCCUAGCUGAAAACUCAAUCACUCUUGUAUUUUUCUGGUAAUA